UACGUAGGGGGCUAGCGUUGUCCGGAAUCAUUGGGCGUAAAGCGCGUGUAGGCGGCUCGAUUAGUCCGCUGUGAAAGUCGGGGGCUCAACCCUCGGAUGCCGGUGGAUACUGUCGGGCUUGAGUACGGAAGAGGCGAGUGGAAUUCCUGGUGUAGCGGUGAAAUGCGCAGAUAUCAGGAGGAACACCAAUUGCGAAGGCAGCUCGCUGGGACGUUACUGACGCUGAGACGCGAAAGCGUGGGGAGCAAACAGG
rnacentral:rRNA from 1 species